rnacentral:rRNA from 1 species
GACGAACGCUGGCGGCAGGCCUAACACAUGCAAGUCGAACGAGUGGCGGACGGGUGAGUAAUGUCUGGGAAACUGCCUGAUGGAGGGGGAUACCUACUGGAAACGGUAGCUAAUACCGCAUACCAUCAGAUGUGCCCAGAUGGGAUUAGCUUGUUGGUGGGGUAACGGCGCACCAAGGCGACGAUCCCUAGCUGGUCUGAGAGGAUGACAAGCAAAACUGGAACUGAGACACGGUCCAGACUCCUAAGGUAGGCAGCAGUGGGGAAUAUUGCACAAUGGGCGAAAGCCUGAUGCAGCCAUGCCGCGUGUAUGAAGAAGGCCUUCGGGUGGUAAAGUACUUUCAGCGGGGAGGCGUUACCCGCAGAAGAAGCACCGGCUAACUCCGUGCCAGCAGCCGCGGUAAUAC